GUAGGUGAACCUGCGGAAGGAUCAUUAUCACGUAUCCACGUAUAAAGCAUUGUGAGAGAAAGCAAAAUAUUAAAGCAACUUUUCUGUGAUUGGUUGUGGCUUUCUCUCACCUCAAUUGUCGUCUCCGGAGUCACUUUUGUACCUCGAGCUCCUCUCAUUUCAGAGUGUAUUUUCAAUCACUAAUUAUUAACCAUUUUAACCAAUCUUUAUAACUUUUGAACUAACUUAUUUCUUACUCUGCGGAGAAGAAAUUCAUUACGAAACAAAGAACAACCCUUAUAUUAGCAACGGAUAUCUUGGUUCUC
rnacentral:misc_RNA from 1 species